UACGAAGGGGGCUAGCGUUGCUCGGCAUCACUGGGCGUAAAGCGCACGUAGGCGGAUUGUUAAGUCAGGGGUGAAAUCCUGGAGCUCAACUCCAGAACUGCCUUUGAUACUGGCGAUCUUGAGUCCGGGAGAGGUGAGUGGAACUGCGAGUGUAGAGGUGAAAUUCGUAGAUAUUCGCAAGAACACCAGUGGCGAAGGCGGCUCACUGGCCCGAUACUGACGCUGAGGCACGAAAGCGUGGGGAGCAAACAGG
rnacentral:rRNA from 1 species